rnacentral:tRNA from 1 species
CGGGGUGUGGCCUAGCGGCUAAGGCGCCACGUUCGGGACGUGGAGAUCGGCGGUUCAAAUCCGCCCACCCCGACCA